UGCGCCGUUCGAUGGCUGCUGUAUCUGAAAUGGGACACAGGAAGGGCACAGAACGGCGCAAAACGGUACAAAACGGCAGUGCACUCAGCUAAGCGCCGUUAAGCGCGCUUAUCACGAUGCGGUCUCUGAAAUGAGACACAGCCUCAAUCUUCCUGUUACAGCAAAGGAUUGUGGGUAAAACCGUGAGUGAGUGAGGUACUUCCUUUCUGGCAUGAGAGCCUUGGGAAUCAAUCUCCCUGUUGCAGCAAAGGAUUGUGGGUAAAACCGUGAGUGAGGGAGGUACAUUUUUCCUGGCAUGAGAACCUCAGGAGUCAGUCCUUCCUAAGAAAAAAGAGGGGAGGGGGGAAGAAAAACAAAAGCACAGGAACCCUAAAAUAAAAUAAAAUAAAAUAAAAUAAUAUGAUAUAAAACAAUGAAAAAAUAAAAAAAUAAAAGAAGAACAAAAGUGGAUUGCAAAAAGGGAAGGGGAAGAAAAAAGGAAAAAAAGAAGUGUCAAGAGCAAAUAGCAAAAAUCAAAAGUGAGCUUAAAAACAGAGAACAGUUCCCUAAAAGACAGACAGAAAUGUAAAUUUGAUCAAUGUCCCAAGGGAAAAUUUGUACGUGUGUGUGUGUGUUCUUUUCUGCUAGCUUAGUCUGGUGUCACUGAUUGUCAGUUAUUGAUAGUGAUGGCGAGAUGAAGCCUCAUGAAGCAUUGAAGCUUUCCAUCCAAUUACUCGCCUCCUGGGCCGAAGCUUCAUGAUCGUGCUUCAUUUACUCUAUUGCGCCAUCAAGUGGACAAUAAAUGUAAAACAGGCAGAGUGAUAAACCAAAGACACCCCGAGGCUUUGGUGCGCGAAGCUUUGAAUCCAAUGAAUGAAUGGAUGUGAUGCCGUGUGUUUGUGAUACAAUACAGAAAUGAUAAAGUUAUUAAUAUGGUGUUUGUCUUUAAGACACAGUUGCAGUGUCAAAAAGGGGAAGAGGACAUAAAUUAUCGAGAGGGUUGUAAUGUGAAUGUGUUACUUAGUUUGUUGUUCGUACUUUUGUUACGGGGACAACAAAUAAAACAUAAACAUUUCAUUUAUAUUUAUUUAUUUCUAUUUAAAAACAACUUUUCAACAAGUCUCGAGUCUAUGGAUUGUGAGUGGGGCAGGACUCCAUUGCGUUUCGCUGUCUGUUAAAUCAUCCGCCAAACCCGUGAACCGUUUCUUGAAUCAGUCACGUGGUAUAGCCGGGUAGCGAGGCUUCGGACGUCAUCAUUUUUGGCUCCACCCCUACAUGAAGCAAGCCUCGAUACGCGCUUCUCGGAAACGCCCCCUUCAUUACUCGACACACGCUUCGAAGCCUCGGCACUGAAGGACACAUCACUAGUUAUUGAUAAGUAUUUAUUAUUUAAAUUUUUGAUGAAGUUGUUUGUAGUGGGGUUAGCUGGCUAAUUUUAGAGUGUUAAAAAAGAUGUUAGAGGGGGAGGAUUUAGGGGGCAUGGCGGUUCCCCUUCAGGUCUCUCUUAAUCCUCCAUAUAGGUGACCCAACAGGGGUUACCCCCCCGGCCGGGGUAGGCCUAGGCUGAAGAUCACCUAUUUGUCCUCUGUGAAGGUGAAAAUAAAGGGGCAGGGGAGGGAAUAAGAAAGAGGGGGUGUGUUAGAGAGAGGGGGAGAGAUGAGGGAGAGAGAUGAGGGAGAGAGGGAGCGAGAGAGAGAGAGAAGGAGUGUGAGAGAGAGGGGGAAGAGGGAGAGAGAGAGAGGGGGGGAGAGUGUGUGUGUGUGUGAGAGAGAGAGACAGAGAGAGAGAGAAAGAGAGGGAGAAGGGAAGAGGGAGAGGGGGGUUUAAGGGAGAGGUGGAGAUGGUGGAAUAUAAAGAUUGGUAAGGGGGAUUUGGUGGCGGAUGAAACAUCCCAUAGCUCCCCAGCUCUCACCAUCCAUGUGAGGAGAGUGAGCAAGGGACAUAGUCCCCCGACCCGACUAGGUCUAGGCUCUGCUCUCCUCACGGUCCUCAUGAGAUACAAAGAGAUAUGUAAACGUGGAAGUGAGAGUUCUCUAGGCAGAGUUUUGGGUUUGGUUUGAGCUGAGUUGGUCAGUUGAUUAUUGAUUACUAUUUUAAGUUCUAAAAGUGGAUAGAGUCAAAAAGUCACAGAGGAUUGUGGUGGGAGAAGAUGGUCCGUCUGGCACCAUUCUACUCAUGCAGGGAUUCGAGUGAUAGAAAGAGAAUAGAUCUUGCCACCAUGACUCGCCAUUGAGACUCUCCUCACCUGCUGGUUUUCAUCCUCUGAUAGGAGAGAGAGGUACAGAUCAGGAGAAAAGGAGGGGGGCAGGGUGGGGUCAGGAGUUAAUUUGUCUUGAAAAGUAUUUAUCUUUUCGUCAUUGCUGUUAGGGUUUAGAUAUUUUUUGUUUAGUUAUCUGAGGAAUGUAGUGUUAGUAUAGGUUCCAAGGUGGAGGAUUCUUUUGAAUUCACUCUCACCCUUGAUACUGGAAGAUCUUAGAUUCUAUAAAGGGGGGGAAGGGGGGGUGGGGGGGGGUGAGAGGUUGUGUGCACAGAAGGAGCAUGGGCUCAGACUAUUCUCGGAAUGAUAUUGUGACAAGUCUGUCCAAAGGCAACUGGCUGGUUUGGUGUGGGUAAGAGAUACAGUGAUAGCCCCCGCUUUCGUCAGUUGACUUGGCGGUUUGGGGUAGGCUGAUCAAGGGCUUGCACUGGCCGGCGCAUGUCGACCUGUCACAUGUUCCCAGUCGAGUCUCCGAGCUCAAUCUGUGUGUAAAAUUAUGUGUUGGUAGGAAGUUUAAUGACUCAGCUUAAUUGGUAUGCUAUGCUGUCUAUCUUUUAGACUAUGUGUUUGGAGAGCAACAUUAUGUGUAUAUUAUGUUACAGGGCUAGGUAAAGGUUAAAGGUUUUUGGCGUUAGGGUUAAAAUCACUGUCCAAAACCUUUGUAGGAACUCCUUUCCAACCUUUUGGAGUUAGCUAGACCAAAAAAAAAAAAAAAGAAAAAUGAAAAAAAAAUUUUUGGGGGUGUUAAGGCUUCCUUAAGGUAAUACCCGGGUAUUAGGUUACGGGGCUAGGGUAAGGUUUAAGGUUUUUGGCGUUUGGGUUAAAAUCACUGUCCAAAACCUUUGUAGGAACUCUUUUCCAACCUUUUGGAGUUAGCUAGACCAAAAAAAAAAAAGGAAAAAUGAAAAAAAAAAUGUUUGGGAUGUGAAGGCUUCCUUAAGGUAAUACCCGGGUAUUAGGUUCGGGGAUAGGGUAAGGUUUAAGGUUUUUAGCGUUAGGGUUAAAAUCACUGUCCAAUAUUUUUAAGGAACAUGUUUCAGACCUUUUGGAGUUAGUUACACCAAAAAAAAAAUGUAAAAUGAAAAAGAAAUAUUUGGGGUGUUCGGGCUUCCUGAAGGUAAUACCCAGGUAUUAGGUUAUGGGGCUUUGGAAAGGUUUAAGGUUUUUGGCGUUUGGGUUAAAAUCACUGUCCAAAACCUUUGUAGGAACUCUUUUCCAACCUUUUGGAGUUAGCUAGACCAAAAAAAAAAACGAAAAAUAAAAAUAAAAUUUUUUGGUGUGGUAGGGCAUCCUUUAGCUAAUACCCAGGUAUUAGGUUUCAGGGCUAGGUAAAGGUUAAAGGCUUUUGGCGUUAGGGUUAAAAUAACUGUCCAAUAUUUUUUAAGGAACAUGUUUCAGACCUUUUGGAGUUCGUUAGACCAAAAGAAAAACGAAAAAUGAAAAAAAAAAAUGUUUGGGGUGUUAAGGCUUCCUUAAGGUAAUACCCAGGUAUUAGGUUACGGGGCUAGGGUAAGGUUUAAGGUUUUUGGCGUUAGGGUUAAAAUCACUGUCCAAAACCUUUGUAGGAACUCUUUUCCAACCUUUUGGAGUUAGUUAGACCAAAAAAAAAAAGAAAAAUGAAAAAAAAUAAAUUUGGGGUUUUCGGGCUUCCUGAAUGUAAUACCCGUGUAUUAGGUUAUGGGUCUAGGGUAGGGUUUCAGGUUUUUGGCGUUAGGGUUAAAAUCACUGUCCAAAACCUUUGUUGGAACAAGUUUCAGACCUUUUGGAGUUAGUUAGACCAAAAAAACGAAAAAUGAAAAAAAAAAUAUAUGGGGUUUUUUGGGCUUCCUGAAGGUAAUACCCAGGAAUUAGGUUAUGGGACUAGGGAAAGGUUUAAGGUUUUUGGCGUUAGAGUUAAAAUCACUGUCCAAAACCUUUUUAGGAACAUAUUUCAGACCUUUUGGAGUUAGUUACACCAAAAAAAAAAGGAAAAGGAAAAAAAAUAUUUGGGGUUUUCGGGUUUCCUGAAGGUAAUACCCGGAUAUUAGGUUAUGGGGCUUUGGAAAGGUUUAAGGUUUUUGGCGUUAGGGUUAAAAUCACUGUCCAAAACCUUUGUAGGAACUCUUUUCCAACCUUUUGGAGUUAGUUAAACCAAAAAAAAAUGAAAAAUGAAAAAAAAAUAUUUGGGGUUUUCGGGCUUCCUGAAGGUAAUACCAGGGUAUUAGGUUUUGGGGCUAGGGUAAGGUUAAAGGUUUUUGGCGUUAGGGUUAAAAUCACUGUCCAAAACCUUUGUAGGAACUCUUUUCCAACCUCUUGCAGUUAGUUAGACCAAAAAAAAAUGAAAAAUGAAAAAAAAAUGUUUGGGGUUUUCGGGCUUCCUGAAGGUAAUACCCGGGAAUUAGGUUAUGGGGCUAGGGAAAGGUUUAAGGAUUUUGGUGUUAGGGUUAAAAUCACUGUCCAAAACCUUUUUAGGAACAAGUUUCAGACCUUUUGGAGUUAGUUAGACAAAAGAAAAUGAAAAAUGAAAAAAAAAGAUUUUUGGGGUUUUCGGGCUUCCUGAAGGUAAUACCCGGGUAUUAGGUUAUGGGGCUAGGGUAAGGUUUAAGGUUUUUGGCGUUAGAGUUAAAAUCACUGUCCAAAACCUUUUUAGGAACAAGUUUCAAACCUUUUGGAGUUAGUUAGACAAAAAAAAAAAUUAAAAAUGAAAAAAAAAAAUGUUUGGGGUGUUAAGGCUUCCUUUAGGUAAUACCCGGGUAUUAGGUUAUGGGGCUAGGGUAAGGUUUAGGGUUUUUGGCGUUAGGGUUAAAAUCACUGUCCAAAACCUUUGUUGGAACAAGUUUCAGACCUUCUGGAGUUAGUUACACCAAAAAAAAAAGGAAAAGGAAAAAAAAAUAUUUGGGGUUUUCGGGUUUCCUGAAGGUAAUACCCGGAUAUUAGGUUAUGGGGCUUUGGAAAGGUUUAAGGUUUUUGGCGUUAGGGUUAAAAUCACUGUCCAAAACCUUUGUAGGAACUCUUUUCCAACCUUUUGGAGUUAGUUAAACCAAAAAAAAAUGAAAAAUGAAAAAAAAAUGUUUGGGGUGUUCGGGCUUCCUGAAGGUAGUAUUAGGUAAUGGGGUUAGGGAAAGGUUAAAGAUUUUUGGCAUUAGGGUAAAAAUCACUGUCCAAAACCUUUGUAGGAACUCUUUUCAAACCUUUUAGAGUUAGUUAGACAAAAAAAAAAAUGAAAAAUGAAAAAAAAUAAAUUUGGGGUUUUCGGGCUUCCUGAAUGUAAUACCCGUGUAUUAGGUUAUGGGUCUAGGGUAGGGUUUCAGGUUUUUGGCGUUAGGGUUAAAAUCACUGUCCAAAACCUUUGUUGGAACAAGUUUCAGACCUUUUGGAGUUAGUUAGACCAAAAAAACGAAAAAUGAAAAAAAAAAUAUAUGGGGUUUUUUGGGCUUCCUGAAGGUAAUACCCAGGAAUUAGGUUAUGGGACUAGGGAAAGGUUUAAGGUUUUUGGCGUUAGAGUUAAAAUCACUGUCCAAAACCUUUUUAGGAACAUAUUUCAGACCUUUUGGAGUUAGUUACACCAAAAAAAAAAGGAAAAGGAAAAAAAAUAUUUGGGGUUUUCGGGUUUCCUGAAGGUAAUACCCGGAUAUUAGGUUAUGGGGCUUUGGAAAGGUUUAAGGUUUUUGGCGUUAGGGUUAAAAUCACUGUCCAAAACCUUUGUAGGAACUCUUUUCCAACCUUUUGGAGUUAGUUAAACCAAAAAAAAAUGAAAAAUGAAAAAAAAAUAUUUGGGGUUUUCGGGCUUCCUGAAGGUAAUACCCUGGUAUUAGGUUAUGGGUCUAGGGAAAGGUUUAAGGUUUUUGGCGUUAGGGUUAAAAUCACUGUCCAAAACCUUUGUAGGAACUCUUUUCCAACCUCUUGCAGUUAGUUAGACCAAAAAAAAAUGAAAAAUGAAAAAAAAAUGUUUGGGGUUUUCGGGCUUCCUGAAGGUAAUACCCGGGAAUUAGGUUAUGGGGCUAGGGAAAGGUUUAAGGAUUUUGGUGUUAGGGUUAAAAUCACCAUCCAAAACCUUUUUAGGAACAUGUUUCAGACCUUUUGGAGUUAGUUAGACAAAAGAAAAUGAAAAAUGAAAAAAAAAGAUUUUUGGGGUUUUCGGGCUUCCUGAAGGUAAUACCCGGGUAUUAGGUUUUGGGGCUAGGGUAAGGUUUAAGGUUUUUGGCGUUAGAGUUAAAAUCACUGUCCAAAACCUUUUUAGGAACAAGUUUCAAACCUUUUGGAGUUAGUUAGACAAAAAAAAAAAUUAAAAAUGAAAAAAAAAAAUGUUUGGGGUGUUAAGGCUUCCUUUAGGUAAUACCCGGGUAUUAGGUUAUGGGGCUAGGGUAAGGUUUAGGGUUUUUGGCGUUAGGGUUAAAAUCACUGUCCAAAACCUUUGUUGGAACAAGUUUCAGACCUUCUGGAGUUAGUUACACCAAAAAAAAAAGGAAAAGGAAAAAAAAAUAUUUGGGGUUUUCGGGUUUCCUGAAGGUAAUACCCGGAUAUUAGGUUAUGGGGCUUUGGAAAGGUUUAAGGUUUUUGGCGUUAGGGUUAAAAUCACUGUCCAAAACCUUUGUAGGAACUCUUUUCCAACCUUUUGGAGUUAGUUAAACCAAAAAAAAAUGAAAAAUGAAAAAAAAAUGUUUGGGGUGUUCGGGCUUCCUGAAGGUAGUAUUAGGUAAUGGGGUUAGGGAAAGGUUUAAGAUUUUUGGCAUUAGGGUAAAAAUCACUGUCCAAAACCUUUGUAGGAACUCUUUUCAAACCUUUUGGAGUUAGUUAGACAAAAAAAAAAAUGAAAAAUGAAAAAAAAAAAUGUUUGGGGUGUUAAGGCUUCCUUAAGGUAAUACCCGGGUAUUAGGUUAUGGGGCUAGGGUAAGGUUUAAGGUUUUUGGCGUUAGGGUUAAAAUCACUGUCCAAAACCUUUGUUGGAACAAGUUUCAAACCUUUUGGAGUUAGACCAAAAAAAAAUGAUAAAUGAAAAAAAAAAUAUUUGGGGUUUUCGGGCUUCCUGAAGGUAUUACCCGGGUAUUAGAUUAUGGGGCUAGGGAAAGGUUUAAGGUUUUUGGCGUUAGGGUUAAAAUCACUGUCCAAAACCUUUUUAGGAACAUGUUUCAGACUUUUUGGAGUUGGUUACACCAAGAAAAAAUGUAAAAUGAAAAAAUAUAUAUUUUGGGUGUUCGGGCUUCCUGAAGGUAUUACCCGGGUAUUAGAUUAUGGGGCUAGGGAAAGGUUUAAGGUUUUUGGCGUUAGGGUUAAAAUCACUGUCCAAAACCUUUGUUGGAACAAGUUUCAGACCUUUUGGAGUUGGUUACACCAAGAAAAAAUGUAAAAUGAAAAAAAAAUAUUUGGGAUUUUUGGGCUUCCUGAAGGUAAUACCCGGGUAUUAGGUUUUGGGGCUAGGGUAAGGUUUAAGGUUUUUGGCGUUAGGGUUAAAAUCACUGUCCAAAACCUUUGUAGGAACAAGUUUCAAACCUUUUGGAGUUAGUUAGACCAAAAAAAAUGAAAAAUGAAAAAAAAAAAUGUUUGGGGUGUUAAGGCUUCCUUUAGGUAAUACCCGGGUAUUAGGUUAUGGGGCUAGGGUAAGGUUUAGGGUUUUUGGCGUUAGGGUUAAAAUCACUGUCCAAAACCUUUGUUGGAACAAGUUUCAGACCUUUUGGAGUUAGUUACACCAAAAAAAAAAAGGAAAAUGAAAAAAAAAUAUUUGGGGUUUUCGGGUUUCCUGAAGGUAAUACCCGGGUAUUAGGUUAUGGGGCUAGGGUAAGGUUUAAGGUUUUUGGCGUUAGGGUUAAAAUCACUGUCCAAAACCUUUGUUGGAA